UCGGAAGAUGUAAUAGGAGCCAUGAAGAGAAAACAGGAUUAUAUAGGGAGAACGAAUUUUAUCCUAAAGAGAUUAAUGAUACAUUAUGAGCGUAACGCAUUUAUGACUAGGUCAUUGAAUGUGCACUUAAUAAAUAGCUUUCGUAAUGGUCUAUAAUAAAGAUUUUAUGCAACCUUAAAUUUUUAGUGGAACCCAAAAAAGUGUGACAAACCCAUAACCCAAACCGGACAGCGAUAAGAUGACGAAUGGCAAACCGCUAUGGGUGGCGACCAACAUGAAAUGGCAUGCUCAAACCCACCGAGAAUGUCAAAUUGUGUGUGGCCAGAAGGCAUAAGGCACACGGAUGACUAGAGCUUUAUGUAACACUCCCUAACCUCAAACCGUCUUGGGAACAGGGUUACGGAGCAUUACCGGACCUAUCAGACAAUUUACAAUUAAUAUACACAUAAUUACCAAACAUAGCAUAAAACACCUAUAUUUAACCAAUCGAAACACAUUUAAAUAAACUCAAAACUUUCCAAAUUUAGACAUUUUAUAUAUUAUCCAAUACUUAAUUCUAUUCACUUAUCAUAUAUGAUCAAAUAGUUCAGAUUCAUACUUAUUAUCCUAAUUCUAUCAUAUACCAUUGCCAAGCUUAAUUCUACUUAUUUCAUUAAUACAUUAACAAUCCAAAACGACACACACGUAAAACACCCUAGGCAUAUGCCAUUACCAACUAUUAACACGUUUUACCUCAUUGAAUUCAGGAUCGGCCUGGGAUGCUGAUUCAACGUUCUAGCUUUAAUUUAACCUGCGCAUGGAAGCAAACCGUAUGCUGAGUAUGAACUCAGUGGUAUUUCUAUAAUCCAAACACUUAAUAAUAUAACAUACACUUAAAAACAUAUAUUGAUCAUAAAUAUUCAAUUAUUCAUUCCAUAGGUAAAUUCUUUAUAACUCAUUCAAUUCUUAUCAUCUAUUAAUCCGAUUAUUCUUCAGUUCACUAUUCAGUAACAUUAAAUAACAUUCAACUAUCACAUUUCAAUUAGUAUUCUGUACUUAUCCAUUUUAGUAACAAUCAGUCAUCAGUAAUAAUCAGUAAUUCAGUAACAGUCAAAUAUUCAGUAGCAAUCAAUUAUUCAGUACAUUUAUUUACCCCUAUUAACAUGAAUCAGACCUGGAGGGAUAUACGGAUCCAACCCAAACACCGGGAUAGCAUACAGUGUUUCAUCGGCCGGAGCCGGAAUACACGUAACGGUAACGGUAACAGUAACAGUAGCGGUACACAGAAUACCUCAUCGGAACAAAUUCGGAACAGUAACAGUAACAAUAAGGUACGAAGUACCUCUUCGGAACGAAUUCGAAAUAGUAACAAUAGUCGACACUUAUAGUGUCUCAACGACACAAAGUCGGAGUAUCCCUGAACACUUCCAAUCCUAUGGCAUGCCAACUAUAUCCGACUUAGUUCGAUACAGUUAAUAGGGUUUCUAAUUCAUUUCCAGUUUCCAAUCAUUACACAUCUCAACAAUCAUAUAUAUUCAUAAUUCGAUAUAAUUCAUUUCACUUUUUCAAUAACAAAUAUUCACUUUUCACAAUAAUCACAUAUAUCUGUAUAAAUUCAAUAAAUUUAACACAUACCUAAUCAAUCCAUUUCAAUUAUAAAACACAAUAUUUCUCACCUCAAUUACUAUCAUAAUAUUCAAUCAAAAUUCAACAAUGAAUAAAUAAUUUCACUUUUCAAUUUUAACCAAUAUCUAUUCUAAUUCAAAUAUUCAUCUCAAAGCACUUUCUAUAUAUAUUAAGUAAUAAACUCAAUAAUUAAAUAUUAAGUUCGGAUUAUAGAAAUACAAACCAUAAUUUUCGAGCUAACCCUCGUUGACUUUGUCUUUUCCUUUAUUAGCCGAGGUUUUCCGGCACAACGUUAACUAUUUAAAUUCCAAGCUUUAAAAUCCAUAUUUCUCCCUUUUCUUUCUUUCCCUUUUUCCUUUCUUUCUUUCUCCCCUAUUUUUCGUUUCUAUUCUCUGUUC
rnacentral:lncRNA from 1 species